GGUGCGCCUUAUGCAUGCAAGUCGAGCGAAGCUUUUCAGUAGUUUACUACAGAAAAUGACUGAGCGGCGAACGGGUGAGUAACGCGUGAGCAAUCUACCUUAGUUACAGGGAUAGCCCGAGGAAACUCGGAUUAAUACCUGAUAUUCUUUACAUUUCGCAUGAAAUCAAAAGGAAAGGUCAGCCGAACUAAGAUGAGCUCGCGUUCUAUCAGCUAGUUGGUGAGGUAAAAGCUCACCAAGGCAACGACGGAUAGCUGGUCUGAGAGGACGAUUAGCCACACUGGGACUGAGACACGGCCCAGACUCCUACGGGAGGCUGCAGCAGGGAAUAUUGCGCAAUGAGCGAAAGCUUGACGCAGCGACACCGCGUGUGGGAUGACGGAUCUAGGUUUGUAAACCACUUUCAGGAGGGAAGAAAAUGACGGUACCUCCACAAGAAGCCCCGGC
rnacentral:rRNA from 1 species